AUGGGUGAACCACAGCAAGUGAGUACACUUUCACCACCACCAAUGCAAUAUAUCAAAGAAUAUAUGAAUGAAAAUAUUCAAGAAGGCUUAGCUCCCAAGCCUCCCCCUCCAAUAAAAGACAGUUAUAUGAUGUUUGUCAAUCAGUUCCAAUGUGAUGAUCUUAUCACCCACCCUUUGGAAAGUCAGAGCAUCAAAAGGCUUCAUCUUAUGCAGUUUGAUCACAAGAAAGAACUGAGAAAACUUAAUAUGUCUAUCCUUAUUAAUUUCUUGGAUCUUUUAGAUAUAUUAAUAAAGAGUCCUGGGAGUAUAAAACGAGAAGAGAAACUAGAAGAUCUUAAGCUUUUUGUACAUGUGCAUCAUCUUACAUAUGAAUACAGACCCCACGAAGUAAAAGAGACCUUCAGAUGGAAGUCCAGAAACAUCAACAGCUUUAAACAGCUGAGGGGUUUCAAAAGCACCUGGAACGAGUAAUUGAAAUGAUUCAGAAUUGCUUGGCUUCCAUGCCUGAUGAUUCACCUCAUUCAGGAGGAGGAAUGAGAGUAAAAACUGAACCAAUGGAUGCUGAUGAUAGCAACAAUUGUACUGGACCGAAUGACCAACAAAGAGAAAAUUCAGGUCGUAGGAGAGAUCAGAUUACAGAGAAAGAUGCUGCCUUGUGUGUCCUAAUUGAUGAAAUGAACGAAAGACCUUGAAAGAUGUUUCUCUUUUUUUUCCUUUUGAUAAAUAGCAUCAUAUAUUAUUUUCUUUUGGACAGUCUUAAGAGAGAUUUCCCUAAAAAUGUAAACAACUUUAAUCUUUACUCCAAUUUUUUCAAUUAUGUGAUGUCAUAGGCAGUAAUUUUGCUGAAUAACAGGCAUAAGCAAAUGAGUACCCCUGCACUAAGAAUAAUCACUUUAGAAAGCAAAGUGUUAGCUGCUGUUGUACGGGACAUUCCUAUGUUUUGGAGUUGCAGUAAAACUUUGAUGAUAACCUCAAUAAUAGCAAAGCUUUGAUCCUUGAAAA